UGUAACUUCUCCCCCAAGGACCCCUGUGCCUCUUUCUCCUCCAAAAUCCCUCUUCUCAUCCUCCUAAUACCUUCCCUUCUUGGUCUCCUAUUUCUCUUCCCCUCUGGUUCUCUCAGGCCCCCUUGGCCAGCUCUCCAUUGCCCCUCCCUUUCAGAAGCCCAAGUAAUUCCCACUCGCCUGGCCUUGGCCUCCUUCCCUGGUGUGGGUCUGCAAGCCCCAUCUCUCACCUGGGCCACCUUACAGACAAGAUUUGAGAGAUACCUUGGUUUUGCAGUUUUCACCUGUAGGACCUAACAGUGGCAUCUUUCUCCCUUCACAGUGUCUUACUGUCUGUCCCCUUCUAACCAGCCACUGCCAGGACCUCACCUUCAGUUCUUCCCCAGCCCAGCCUGCUUCCUUCUGACUGCAGGGGCUGAGUUAAUGCCAGCACUCACUAUGUGUUGUCACUGGGCUAAGGGCUAUGUAUGUUUUCCCACUAGUUACCAAGACAUUCUCAAAAAGUAGGAAUUGAAACUAGCCCAUUUUGCAGAUGCAGAAGCUGAGGCUGGGCUGAGAGCCCAGGGGUGGAACAGGUCAGAGCAAGGAACUGGUACUCUCAACCACAGGCUCUGCUGCACAGGUGGAUAUCCAGGGUGGAACUGACUGAGUGAGGAAUGACAGCGACUUUGGCAGAGAGGACUCUGCCCAGUUGAAAGGUAGGAAUGAUUCCAGGACCUCACAGAGUACACAAGCAUCAACUUACAGAGCAGCCCUGUGCCUAUGGCCUGAGGUAGGAGGUCCCCAGGGUAAAAGGAGAGUUCCCGCAGCCAAGGGUAGAGGGAGCUUCUGACUCAGUAGUAGAGAAGGGGUGGUGUGGCCUGAGUCUGACCUGUUUUUCCUUCGUCAGUGAAACUCCUGCCCAAAGCCACUGGCAGUGAUAUAAGCGACUCCAUACUAGUAGGUGAUUUCCUGUGGGGAGGCAUCCUCAGGAAUAACAGCUUUUUCUAAGCUCUAUGCUUUGUGUAUUUUCUUGUCUUACGCCCUCACAAUUCCAUUCUCAUUUCAUAGGUGAAAAACUGGUCCCAAGAGGGGUCACCCAGCUGCUAUACAGAGGGUGUUGAGACCAGAACUGGUCUCUUCACUCCUCCUUCUCUGGCUUGCAUGCUCAUUUCACUCUCUUCCUAUGUCCGACCUACCUGUGUGCUACUACCAGGACUGCUGGAAUGUCGCAAGAGUUCCACUUCCAGCUCUCUUACUGAAGGUCAUCUGACAUGUGUGAACUAGAAAUUAUAUGGACUGUCGGUGUUCUAUUCAUUUCUGUAUCUUGCCCAGACCUACCACUCAGCCUGCCCUAGAGAGAAUGCAUGCUGAGUGAGGAGCAGAGAAAAAGAUUUAUAGUACCACAAGAAUUAUUUCAUGUUGCCAUUGCCUUCAACACCAUCUGAUACAAAAGGAAUUGACCACUGGGGAUUUAGCUCAGUGGUUCUGCUGCUUGCCUCACAAGCAUAAGGUCCUUUGAUCCCCGGUACCAAAAAAAAAAAAAGAAUCGACCUUCGGAAGAAUCUGCUAGAAGAAUAAUCUAGAGAUCAUUAUUUUUAAGUAGAAAAAGGUACUGAGAAACGAGAAAACCAAUAUGCAGUUACACACCACAUAAUGGAUCAGUGACAGACCACCUGCUCUAGGAUGUAUGCCAUUACAGCCUAGGUGUGUUAGUAAGCUGCACCAUCUUAGUUUGUAUAAAUACUCUGUGUGUUUCCACAAUGAUGACGUCUCAUAUUUUUCACAAGGAAUUCCUGCGGUUAGGCAGUCACUGAGUACACACCUGUAACAACACGAUCAAAACACAUAUGUGCUGGACCAGGGAUUUACCUCAGUGGUUCCACCACCUGCCUCACGAGCAGAAGGACCCAAGUUCAAUCCCUGGUACCAAAAAAAAAACCACAUAUGUGCUAAGAGGUGUGUAUGGGCUGUGAUAGGAACAGUAAGAGGUAGAAGCUCUAAAUUUUAAAAAUAAGUUUUUUGCCCAGAUUAGAGAAGAAAUAUCAAAGUGUAUUAGAGAACUAUUGUAAUCUAAUUUUAAAGCUAAUAAAGAUUGCUGCCAAGCUUCAAAAACUAAGUAUUUAUUCAGUAAAUAUAUGAGUGCCUACUUGCUGGGCAUUCUGUCCUCAUUGAUUCUAUACUGAAACUCACUG
rnacentral:lncRNA from 1 species